rnacentral:rRNA from 1 species
AUGGAGUAUGAUCAGAAAAAAUAUUUCAUACGGAUGUUUGUUGGGUUGAAGCCUUUGUGCGAUGGGUUCUUGGCUGGCUGCAGACCUUACUUGGCGAUAGAUAGCACUCAUUUGACGGGCAAGUAUAGAGGCCAAUUAGCUACUGCUUGUGCUAUUGACGGUCACAAUUGGUUGUACCCUGUAGUCUAUGGAGUUAUCGACUCGGAAACUACUGAAAGUUGGGUGUCGUUUAUGGAGAAGCUUCGUGAAGCUAUUGGCUCUCCCCCCAGUCUAGCUAUAUGUUCAGAUGCAGGAAAAGGGAUUGACACUGCAAUCGAAUAG